GGUCCUAACUCGGCACACAGAAGACGCGGCAGACAGACUUACAGCCGCUAUCAGACGCUGGAGCUAGAGAAGGAAUUUCAGUUCAACCAUUAUUUAACAAGGAAACGGAGAAUCGAGGUUGCCCACUCUCUUUGCCUAACAGAACGACAGAUUAAAAUUUGGUUUCAGAACAGACGAAUGAAACUCAAGAAAGAAAGACAAGCUAUUAAAGAGAUUAACGAUAAUUCCACCCUCCUGUCCACCGAUAAAAAGGAUGAUAAAAGUGAUGGACUGUCUAGUGACGAGUCACCGUAAACACCCGAGUUAUUCCGAACAUCAACGAGAAAGCUUACGGCAAUUACACGAGUUAAGCUUUGUCAAUUCAGGCGAUACGGGUAUAGGGUUCGUCACCUCUUGCCAUACCUUAGAACAAUAUAUAAUAUGAUGGCAAUUUUAACUUAUUCCAAAGAUAUUAUAUGUUUUCUGUUACAAUUGUGUGAGGUAUUACAACUUAGAUCUCGUAACCUAUACAAGCUUGGUCACAAGGCGUAAGAAACAGUGUCUGUGUGUCUGCUAGUCAAGAAGAUUCUUCCGCGGUGAUUAUGUGCGUCUACCGUUCUGUGUUGUAUGCCCUUUGUGUCGAAAUUUGACUACAGAUGGCGCCCAAAUGAAUGUAUCAUAGCUUGUCCAUGCGGGAUUUGAACCAAGAACUGGUAAAACUAGAGAGAGUUUCUCAGUGACUGUAUGAGACUAUAGUUAUUGUUUUGGAAAGGAGUGAUAGAGAUGUUUUAUAAUACAGCAAUGGUUUGGGAUUGUCAUAAACCAUUAAUACGUCAUGAAUAUGAACAAAGGGUAAAAUCUUCGCAACAUUCGUGAAUAUUCUGAUACGAUAGGGUAAAAAUGUAAAUGAUUGCUAAAAUAGAGGUCCUUCGGGCACAUAUCGUAUUUUUGUAUGGCAUUACUAGUACUUAUGGCUUACAUUAGAAAUCUGCUGAUGUUUAGAGGGAGACUAAAGUGCAUAAAAUACCUCAAGUUUUUUCUUCCAUUGUACAGACAUAUAUGUUGCAUUAAAGCUUUUUGUACCCUUUUAUCAUGACUUUGUCUCAGGGCUACAGUUUACUACAUCUUACCCUUGAUUUUUAUUUGCCCUAAAAACCAUUUUUGAAGGAUUUGGUAACCAUUUGGUAGGAAAACGGUAUAUAUUCAUUGUAUAUCUAGAUAAACAAAACACAUUAAAAAAAAAACAACCCCAACUCAGCAACUGCUGCAGACGUGUGUAUUUGUAAGUCUGUAUGAAAAAGUCGUUUUAUGAAUUGCUGCCAAAACAUUAAUUUCGAGAAAGUUGCAAUAGACGUUCCCCUGUUUUAAAUGUUGUGUUGUGCUGUUCUAACGAGACCGUUAUAUGAAUCAGAGAGAUUUUUUCUAUGUUUGUUAACGUUUAGUUGUAAUAAAUACUGCCAAUUUUAUUGGUGCAUUUCAUAUGUAAUAAAAGUUUGUAAAGAC
rnacentral:misc_RNA from 1 species